GUGAUACCAUUGAGAUUACGAACAGACUUCGGGACUGAGAAUGGGACUAUGGCAGCAAUACAGUGUACCCUCCGUCACGCGCACACGGACUAUUAUGCUGGAUCGUCAAGCCACAGUUACGGAUCAUCUACUGGGAAUCAGCGCAUCGAGUCAUGGUGGUCUUAUUUCAGAAGAGGAAGGUCUCAGUUUUGGAUGGACUUUUUUGGAGACCUAAGAGACUCUGGAAA